CCUACGGGUGACAGCAGUGGGGAAUAUUGCACAAUGGGGGAAACCCUGAUGCAGCAACGCCGCGUGAAGGAAGACGGUUUUCGGAUUGUAAACUUCUGUUCUUAGUGAAGAAUAAUGACGGUAGCUAAGGAGCAAGCCACGGCUAACUACGUGCCAGCAGCCGCGGUAAUACGUAGGUGGCAAGCGUUGUCCGGAAUUACUGGGUGUAAAGGGAGCGCAGGCGGGAAGCCAAGUCAGCUGUGAAAACUACGGGCUUAACUUGUAGACUGCAGUUGAAACUGGUUUUCUUGAGUGAAGUAGAGGUUGGCGGAAUUCCGAGUGUAGCGGUGAAAUGCGUAGAUAUUCGGAGGAACACCGGUGGCGAAGGCGGCCAACUGGGCUGUAACUGACGCUGAGGCUCGAAAGUGUGGGGAGCGAACAGGAUUAGAUACCCCUGUAGUC
rnacentral:rRNA from 1 species